UGGGGAAUAUUGGACAAUGGGCGAAAGCCUGAUCCAGCCAUGCCGCGUGUGUGAAGAAGGUCUUCGGAUUGUAAAGCACUUUAAGUUGGGAGGAAGGGCAUUAACCUAAUACGUUAGUGUUUUGACGUUACCGACAGAAUAAGCACCGGCUAACUCUGUGCCAGCAGCCGCGGUAAUACAGAGGGUGCAAGCGUUAAUCGGAAUUACUGGGCGUAAAGCGCGCGUAGGUGGUUUGUUAAGUUGGAUGUGAAAUCCCCGGGCUCAACCUGGGAACUGCAUUCAAAACUGACUGACUAGAGUAUGGUAGAGGGUGGUGGAAUUUCCUGUGUAGCGGUGAAAUGCGUAGAUUUAGGAAGGAACACCAGUGGCGAAGGCGACCACCUGGACUAAUACUGACACUGAGGUGCGAAAGCGUGGGGAGCAAACA
rnacentral:rRNA from 1 species